AGUUCUGCAUAGUGGCAGUAUCAUAGCCAAUGAGAUUAAUCUGAGGUGCGGUUAUUGCUAAUUGAAAACUUUUCCCAAUACCCCACUGUGACAACUUGCAAAAUGGUUGGCAUUGGCAAUUUUUGACAGUCUCUACAGAGA